AGAUCUACAGCAGCUACAGGAUGGGCAUCUUCGGCAGUAAGCGUUGUGAACAAGCUCCCUCGCCCCAGCAGCCCCCGCCUUCUCCCACUUUCAGGGAACCCUGGAGGAAAAUACGUUGGGGAGACAAAGACAAAGAGAUUGAGUAUGUGAAGAAGUAUAAGCUUAUAAACGACA